rnacentral:rRNA from 2 species
AGAGUUUGAUCCUGGCUCAGGACGAACGCUGGCGGCGUGCCUAAUACAUGCAAGUCGAACGAACUCUGGUAUUGAUUGGUGCUUGCAUCAUGAUUUACAUUUGAGUGAGUGGCGAACUGGUGAGUAACACGUGGGAAACCUGCCCAGAAGCGGGGGAUAACACCUGGAAACAGAUGCUAAUACCGCAUAACAACUUGGACCGCAUGGUCCGAGUUUGAAAGAUGGCUUCGGCUAUCACUUUUGGAUGGUCCCGCGGCGUAUUAGCUAGAUGGUGGGGUAACGGCUCACCAUGGCAAUGAUACGUAGCCGACCUGAGAGGGUAAUCGGCCACAUUGGGACUGAGACACGGCCCAAACUCCUACGGGAGGCAGCAGUAGGGAAUCUUCCACAAUGGACGAAAGUCUGAUGGAGCAACGCCGCGUGAGUGAAGAAGGGUUUCGGCUCGUAAAACUCUGUUGUUAAAGAAGAACAUAUCUGAGAGUAACUGUUCAGGUAUUGACGGUAUUUAACCAGAAAGCCACGGCUAACUACGUGCCAGCAGCCGCGGUAAUACGUAGGUGGCAAGCGUUGUCCGGAUUUAUUGGGCGUAAAGCGAGCGCAGGCGGUUUUUUAAGUCUGAUGUGAAAGCCUUCGGCUCAACCGAAGAAGUGCAUCGGAAACUGGGAAACUUGAGUGCAGAAGAGGACAGUGGAACUCCAUGUGUAGCGGUGAAAUGCGUAGAUAUAUGGAAGAACACCAGUGGCGAAGGCGGCUGUCUGGUCUGUAACUGACGCUGAGGCUCGAAAGUAUGGGUAGCAAACAGGAUUAGAUACCCUGGUAGUCCAUACCGUAAACGAUGAAUGCUAAGUGUUGGAGGGUUUCCGCCCUUCAGUGCUGCAGCUAACGCAUUAAGCAUUCCGCCUGGGGAGUACGGCCGCAAGGCUGAAACUCAAAGGAAUUGACGGGGGCCCGCACAAGCGGUGGAGCAUGUGGUUUAAUUCGAAGCUACGCGAAGAACCUUACCAGGUCUUGACAUACUAUGCAAAUCUAAGAGAUUAGACGUUCCCUUCGGGGACAUGGAUACAGGUGGUGCAUGGUUGUCGUCAGCUCGUGUCGUGAGAUGUUGGGUUAAGUCCCGCAACGAGCGCAACCCUUAUUAUCAGUUGCCAGCAUUAAGUUGGGCACUCUGGUGAGACUGCCGGUGACAAACCGGAGGAAGGUGGGGAUGACGUCAAAUCAUCAUGCCCCUUAUGACCUGGGCUACACACGUGCUACAAUGGAUGGUACAACGAGUUGCGAACUCGCGAGAGUAAGCUAAUCUCUUAAAGCCAUUCUCAGUUCGGAUUGUAGGCUGCAACUCGCCUACAUGAAGUCGGAAUCGCUAGUAAUCGCGGAUCAGCAUGCCGCGGUGAAUACGUUCCCGGGCCUUGUACACACCGCCCGUCACACCAUGAGAGUUUGUAACACCCAAAGUCGGUGGGGUAACCUUUUAGGAACCAGCCGCCUAAGGUGGGACAGAUGAUUAGGGUGAAGUCGUAACAAGGUAGCCGUAGGAGAACCUGCGGCUGGAUCACCUCCUUU